ACUGAAAUAAUAUUAUUUGUACUCUUUCAUAAAAACAUGAAAAUUCAGUAGAUUAUGUUAAAAUUCCGAUAUGAUUUUAAUCGUUGUAUACUGAGGCAGAAAAUUACCUUUAAAAUAUACCUUUAAAAUGGCCUGUUUGCUAACAUUUUGACGUAUUUAAAACUAGAUAUUUUUAGGAUAAUUUUAUGUCAGAAAAUAGUUUUAGUGUAUCUACUUGGUCUUAUGGCCAAGAGAGAGCGAGCAAGCGAGCAAGAGAGAGAGCUUUGCACCUCUAAUGCUUUAAAAAAUUUAAAAAUAAAAAAAAUUAAAAAGGUCAUAGGACAUAGUGUACAUGGAAACUGCCUGGUAAAUUGUACGGAUUAAAAAAAAGAACACAUUUUACGCCUUAGUGAUUGCUGAAAGUGUUAAAAUGAUGAAAGCCACGGACCUUAACUACCCCUCGGUUGUUGGUACAUUGCUUAAUGCUCUAAAAACGUGUUAAAUAACAGUGCUGGAGCCAGAGUACUUAUGCAGUGGAUUUUCUCAGGAGCAAUUAGCUUUUUAUGCCAGAUCUGCCAAGAUAAACAAAAUAGUGCUCGGUUUGUUUACAGUAGUGGCAGUUUUUUCUGUACCCCUCUCUUUUAGUACAUUUCUCCAUGUCUUUUUUUGAUUCUCACUUUCUCUGUUUUGUUCUCUUGCCGUGUAGAUGGAGUGGAAAUAAUAGCGCUAAUGAUGCUCGUGUGUUUGGUAAAACUGACUUCACCUUUGACCUCUGAUGUCACCCACAAUAAUGUCAAAACUCAGGUGCUCAUUCUGUUAAAGUAACAGUUUACUGGAAAAAAAAAGAAGUUGUUGUUCCAAACCUGACUUUAGGAAAAAAUAAAGUAAUGUUCCUGUUGUUUUUUCCAAAUGCCGAACAUUCAUAACAUUGUGAACUUCUUUUUCAUGGAAGAAAUUCAUUCAGGUUUGAAAUGACUGAAGGUGAGUCUGAUUAAACGAUGACAGAUUUUUUUAGUUAUGGGCGAACUAUUGCUUGCACAAUCUGAUUUCUGUUUUAUAUUCCAUUAAUUUUAACAGCACUCCCAUAUUAUACAAAGCAUGUCACAUCUGAAGAACAUAUUAGCAUCAAACAGCUCUGCCCAGAUCUGUUACCCAGAUUUGAGCUGGCCUGAAAGAAACCGCUUUGCGUUUUUAUCUUCAGCAUUGGAACAUGAUAAGUGAAAGCAUCUCUUUCCCAGUCACGUCGGUGAAGACUGGAGAUGUGGCUUUUGGCUGUGACUCAAACCUUUGGCAGAUGCAGCUGACGUUGUCAUUUAAUGCAGUUUCACUGUAGUAGGUCAAGUUCUUCCAGUAUACUUCCCUCCAAUUGAGAGUGGACACCAGCCGGGUGGGAACAAUAAGCCCAUGCAGUCACCAGCACGUUCUUUCUGGGAAUAAUUGCCAAAGCAGCAAAUCAGCAUAUUAGAAUGAUUUCUGAAGGAUCGUGUGGCACUGAAGACAGGAGUAUUGAUGCCGAAAAUUCAGCUUUGCAGUCACAGGAAUAAAUUACAUUUUACAUUACAGUUUACAUUAGAAAACUGUUAUUUUAAAUUGUAAUAAUAUUUGCUGAUUUUACAGUGUUUUUCGUUUUUUUUUUAUUGAUAAUAUAUGUGUUUAUAUGACAUUGUGCUUCAAGCCUUUUUUUUUUUUUUUUUUUUUUUUUUUUUUUUUUUUUGCACCAGCUUAUUCCUUUCUUUUAUCUUGUCCUGAUGAACAGCUGCAGAAUUUAUCAGUUUCGGCCUCUGCUAUAUGUAAUAGCAUUGUGUGAUAAAUCUGGUUUAAAAAGAUCUGCAUUAAUUAGCACUAGAUCAAAGUCUCCUGUUUUUUUUUUUACGUUCUUCUGCUCUAGCCACAUGUGGUCCACAGACUCGGCCCAGGCAUAUGGUUUUAUUUAGCUUUGUGGAAAGGUUAAAUAGGAAACUUGGAUAAGAGAAAAGGCACUGAAUCUUUUUAUAUGAUGAAAUUUUGAAAGUUUCUGGGGCAUUUUAAAACAUACAUGUAAAAACUUAUCAGUCUUUUGGUUUGCGAGUCGGUCUUGGCGUAGACGGAUCUUGGCCGUUACACUGCGUUUGUCUCUAUUGGCUGUUUAAACACGGCGGUUAGUGUAGGGCUAAUUCUCUUGGAUAAAAAGCCUGCACCAGACUCCUUUAGAUACUGGCACCAGACAAAUUGCAGUGCUUUUUGUCUUUUUUUUUGAUCGUGAGCCUCUCGUUGGGUGUAAACAAAAAUACUAAAAUGAGUAGGCCUAAGUGUAUAUUGAAAACACAGUUUGAGCAUUAGUGUGGUCGAAUAAAAGAGUUUGACUGAGACACAC